GAUGAACGCUGGCGGCGUGCCUAAUACAUGCAAGUCGAGCGAACGGACGAGAAGCUUGCUUCUCUGAUGUUAGCGGCGGACGGGUGAGUAACACGUGGAUAACCUACCUAUAAGACUGGGAUAACUUCGGGAAACCGGAGCUAAUACCGGAUAAUAUUUUGAACCGCAUGGUUCAAAAGUGAAAGACGGUCUUGCUGUCACUUAUAGAUGGAUCCGCGCUGCAUUAGCUAGUUGGUAAGGUAACGGCUUACCAAGGCAACGAUGCAUAGCCGACCUGAGAGGGUGAUCGGCCACACUGGAACUGAAACACGGUCCAGACUCCUACGGGAGGCAGCAGUAGGGAAUCUUACGCAAAGGGCGAAAGCCUGACGGAGCAACGCCGCGUGAGUGAUGAAGGUCUUCGGAUCGUAAAACUCUGUUAUUAGGGAAGAACAUAUGUGUAAGUAACUGUGCACAUCUUGACGGUACCUAAUCAGAAAGCCACGGCUAACUACGUG
rnacentral:rRNA from 1 species